UACGGAGGGUGCAAGCGUUAUCCGGAUUCACUGGGUUUAAAGGGUGCGUAGGUGGGUUGUUAAGUCAGGGGUGAAAUCCUGGAGCUCAACUCCAGAACUGCCUUUGAUACUGGCGAUCUUGAGUCCGGGAGAGGUGAGUGGAACUGCGAGUGUAGAGGUGAAAUUCGUAGAUAUUCGGAAGAACACCAGUGGCGAAGGCGGCUCACUGGACUGGUAUUGACGCUGAGGUGCGAAAGCGUGGGGAGCAACAGG
rnacentral:rRNA from 1 species